rnacentral:misc_RNA from 1 species
CCUAGAGUUGUAGGCUUUGCCUGCUAUCUCUUACCCAUGUCUUUUGAGUACCUUACGUUUCCUCGGCGGGUCCGCCCGCCGAUUGGACAAUUUAAACCACUUGCAGUUGCAAUCAGCGUCUGAAAAACUUAAUAGUUA